rnacentral:lncRNA from 10 species
UACAGUAAAAGCUGGGGAGGUGUGUAGGGCUCCAGUCUUUGGGUUCACAGCUUGGCUCUACAUUCAUUGCUGGAGGAAUCCAAGCCUCACAAAAGACCGCUUUUAAAGAAAAACUCUAUUUUUCUUAGAAGAACUAGAAUAUGUAACACCAUUGUGAGAAAUAAAACCCCAAGGUGAACAAGAUUGAAAGUGAAGGCAGCGCUCUAAGGAGGAAGCCAGCUGGCUUGAAUGGUGAUGUAAACAGCCUUGGAGCUUUAACCAAACUUGAGUAAGAACUCCCUGACUUGGAAACACUCAAGUUUCCCACACAUGACUGGAUGGCCCUGGCCACACUGGGAACGGAAUGGGGGCCUCCCAUUGGAACUCAGGGUGGAGGGGGAAGCUCGACCAGCUAUUGUGGCCCCCACUUCCAUUGACAAAGAGAAGAGACUUGUACACAGAGAGGCUGGGCAACUUGUACAUGGUUGCACAGAUGUCCAGAGGCAGUGCUGAGAUGUGAACACAGGAAGACUGGAUUCAGCAUCUGUGCUACUAACCAGGACACUAUGAAGUCUCUCAUACCUGUGGUACUAGGAAAAUCAGAGAAAAUUUCAAGGAGGGUGGGGCAUUAGAAGCUGACUAUGGAGGAACCGGUAGGAGUUGGAUGUUUGGAAAUAGAGGGCAGGGCAUUGCAGGUAGAGAAUGGGAGUGUAUUCUGGAUGCCAACACAUCUGUGGCGGUCCUAAGAUCAGGAAUAGAUGGUCUGUAUCUUCAGUAUGACUUAAUGUUUCUGAGUGUAAGACUUAAUCUCCAUUUGAAAAAGGAUAAAAAGAAGGAAAAAAAAUAAAAGCUAUUACGUUUCUG